rnacentral:rRNA from 1 species
GACGAACCGUCCAAACGUUAUUCGGAAUUACUGGGCUUAAAGGGUGCGUAGGCGGCGCGGAAAGUAGGGUGUGAAAUCCCUCGGCUCAACCGAGGAACUGCGCCCUAAAACUACCGUGCUUGAGGGAGAUAGAGGUGAGCGGAACUUAGGGUGGAGCGGUGAAAUGCGUUGAUAUCCUAAGGAACACCGGUGGCGAAAGCGGCUCACUGGAUCUCUUCUGACGCUGAGGCACGAAAGCUAGGGUAGCGAACGGG